rnacentral:sRNA from 1 species
GCUGCUUCUUUGUGAUGCUACUCUGCUUGACUCUGGGAUUGAGGCUGCCGGGGUGUCCGCACCCCUGUUCUGCAUAUGUGCCUUUCAAUGUGGUGUGUGAUUGGUGAUUUCAAACAGCAGAAAUUUUUACUCCCCAGUUGAUUUAUUCUUCUAUUUUCAUUUUCAUUUUCAUUUUCAUUUUCAUUUUUCAAUUUUUUUUUCAAUUUUAACUCAUUGGAAGGUCUUUUUUUCAAGACUCAGCUUGUCUUGAAACCCCUUCCAUCAGUGGGAUUGUGUGCGGAGAUGAAGGAGGUGGCAGCUGAUCAAGUGUAUUGAGAUGAUCAGUGAGCUGAUGUCUGGGGACUGAGAAUCAGAGUGCUUGCUGAGCCUGAGUGAUGUGGGUUGCAUUGCUUUUUGAGUCACCAAGGCUGACUGCCAUUGUAACAUUUCUUUCCACGGGCCAAUAGCAAAAAUGCUGCAUUUCAUUUGUGCUCGUGUGCGCCUGC